rnacentral:rRNA from 1 species
UACGGAGGGUGCAAGCGUUAUCCGGAUUCACUGGGUUUAAAGGGUGCGUAGGUGGGCAGUUAAGUCAGUGGUGAAAUCUCCGAGCUUAACUCGGAAAGGUCAGCCGAUACUGCGGGGCUAGAGUGCAGAAGGGGCAACUGGAAUUCUCGGUGUAGCGGUGAAAUGCGUAGAUAUCGAGAGGAACACCUGCGGCGAAGGCGGGUUGCUGGGCUGACACUGACGCUGAGGCGCGAAAGCUAGGGGAGCGAACGGG